rnacentral:rRNA from 1 species
UAGCUGAAUAUCGGAGGGGAAAGUGGAAUUCCUAGUGUGGGGGUAAAAUGCGUAAAGAUUAGGAAGAACACAGGUGACGAAGGCGACUUUCUGUACGGAAACGGACGAGAGCCGCGAAAGCGAGCGACCAAACAAC